UAAAGAUUUUGAUGCAUUUGU
rnacentral:siRNA from 1 species